rnacentral:lncRNA from 1 species
AAUUACCCACACGUUAGUAACAAUAAUUUAUUGAAUUUGGUGCUUAACCUCAGUUAUUAUUAUUAGUAAUCAUGCAUGGUCCCUUAUAUUUUCAAUCACAAUCUUUUUUCGUAUCUGAUGUAAAACUAUUGGGGUUUUGCAUCCCCUUAAACAAUCCGUUUUUUGUCCGUUUCCAUCCGAUGUGGGACUAGCUAUUAGGGUGUCACAUCUCCCGUUUAGAAGAUUACAAUUCCUUUUCCAUCUGAUAUGAGAUUAAUGGGGUGUCACGUCCCCCGUUUAGAGAAUCACAAUCCCUUUUCAAUUUGAUGUGGGAUUAACGGAGUGUCAUAUCCCUCAUAUCCCCUAUUUAGGUUCUGACAUUCUCGUUAGCGCAUCAUACACAUAGCCAAGAUCACCAGACGAUGUGAGAUCCUCCUCACACUUCCGACUGGUGGACCGGCUAUGAUACCAAAUGUAAUAACUGGAUAUACUAGCAAUAAUAACUUAUUGGGCCCAAAUCACCGGCCCAAAAUGCUUAGGCAUAGUUAUUACUACUAGCGUUCAUGUUCCCUUUUACGCCAAAUCAUAAUUCGUUUGUCAUCCGAUGUGAGACUAUUGGGGUGUCACAGAAGAAGAAAUAGUUUGAACUUACCAUCGAUCUCAUGGAGCUACGGUGUACCAUCCCAAUAGUUCCGAAUCAAAUAGGAAAGAAAAUAUGAUUGGAAAUACAAGGAUCAAUAGCUCUAGUAUUAAUAGCAGAGUUUAAGCAUUUUGGGUCGAUGGUUUUAGCCCCAACGAGUUAUUAGUACUAACGGACUGGAUCGUUACAAUUGAUAUCAGAGCCAAUUUACGAAUUGAAAGUGUAAGAUGGGUCUCACAUCGCUUGGUGAUCUAGGUUACAAAAUAAGACCUGAUGAGGACGUCAACAUUAAUUUGAAUAGGGUGAGUAUGUAAUACUCUGAUAGUUCCACAUUGGAUGGAAAAGAGAAUAUGAUUGAAAAUUUAAGGAUAAAAGAUCCUAAUAUUAAUAGCUAAGUUUAAGCAUUUUAAGCUAGUGUUUUGGAUCCAACGAGUUAUUUGUUCAAUUAGGUUGGAUCGUUACAAGAUGAA